rnacentral:lncRNA from 1 species
GGAGUUCUUGAACAUAUUUUUAUUAAUGCUACUAUAGAUUUCCAUCACAUGCAAUAAUGAAUGAAUGAGUGGUAGGAAACACAAAAAUAUCCUUUACACAUUAAGUAUAUUAAUUGGAAAAAACAUUUGGAUAAUUAUUGAAAUCCAAAUUCAUUUUUAAUUUCUCUUAAAUAAUGGAGUUAAUUCAGCUUGCUACAUCUGCAGCAGCCACGUUAUAAGAUUAAAAGUGAAAGGAAAAAAAUAAAACAUGAAACAAAAGAAUUCACAUGAAAAUGCACAAUAAGGUCAAGUUCCUCUUCACAGCACAAGAGAACGAUGAGACAUUUUCAUACCUGAAACACAUCUGCUUCGUUCUUUAAUAAACUGAUCUCCAUCUGCUCAUGCCCUUGGAAAUCUUUCAGCAGUACAACCCGCUGUGCUCAAGUCCCGUAUAACUUUGUAUUUCUCUGCUCAUAAUUAACUAAUUAUUCUCUAAUCAAUAGUGUAGAUCUUGAUUUUACAACAUAAAUUAGGUAAAUGACAGAAUGGCUGGGGGUCAAUCUCAUUUUAUUUACAAAGCCCAGCAUGAGCAUCCAACUUCAUUGUAUCUUAUGUACCUGAACAGCAAUGAAUCUUAUUAGCAGACCUACAGAAAGUCUUAAGACUGAGUACUGGGAGAAAGAGGCCUACAUG